CUCCUCCCACCCACCCCCACUUUUCCAGCCCCGUCCUUUCCCGCUCGCCCUCUCCCGCCCCACUCCUCCGGCGGGGCGCGCUGCCCGGUUCCCGCCGGGGUACUGGGUGGGGGGUGGGGGGGUCGGUGCGUCUGUGCGCGAGGGAGGGGGCCGUUCCCGCGGGGCGCGGGGGACCCCCCUCCCCUCGAGAGCCGCGCGGUGCAGUGACCCGACUCUCAUUCCUUUCCGGGUGGAUUUUGACCCCUGGCCACCUCCACCUGUCGACCUGUCCACCUGCCUGCAGGGUGGGGCCGCCUCCCUGCGGUCCUGUUGUGGGGUGCGGGCAGCGCCCCACCCUGCCGGCUGGUUCGCCGCGCGCGGAUCUGGCUGCUUCCCGGAGGGUUUUGUGCCGCCGCCGCCGCCGCCGCCGCCGCCGCGCUCUUUGUUUUAAUUGUCCGGAGUACAGGCGCCCAAAGCGGGUUCCUGUUUGAUUUGCAGCCCUGAGACCCCAUUUCUACUUGGGACCGAAAUGAACGUGGAUUCAGUAGACCCCCCAGCAAUUGUCUUCCAGCACCCAAACGAAGGGGGGUGAGGUGGAGGGGGACGAGGCUCUUGAAGUGUGCGAACAGCUUUAAAAAAAAAAUUUUUUUUUUUAGACACCCCUUUGGCCUUGCGGACUGGCGGCUCUCGCUAGCCGGGCUCUGUCGCCCCGUGGAGGGGCGCGGCGGAAAGGCGGGACCCCCAGCUGGCCGCCCCGCGGCGCGGAUCUGGUGGCGCAGAGAACUCGGGCCGGCGGAUGCUGUCUGAAACAGUUAAGGCACCUUUGAAAGUUCGCACAGGCUUCCCUUGGCACUGGUGGAUGUGUGCGGAUUGGAAACUAAGAAUAGAUUCCCAGUUGGGGAGCGCACAGCCCUUGCCCAGCGGACGUGCCACGGCGGCCGGCGCAAAAUAAAAGAGAAGAAAACAAAAACAGAAGAGUAGACUACAAUACUGGGCAUCGGGUGGUGGCGAGUGGCCAGCUCCUUGUUUGGUUCUAAGCCAGGAGAGGACUCCGGCCUGCAGGAGGGGUUCCGCUAGACUGCUGGAUAUUGUCGAACACCGAGGUGCUCUUCUUUUCCUUGAAACAGACAAGAGGGAAGAAAUCGAGUUCGCAGCUCGAGUGAUGCCCGUGGCGUAAAUGAAGGCCUUUACCUAGAGACCUGAUGUUGAAUCCUUGUGAUUGACCUGGAGGCCACAGUACCGCCCGCACCCACAGAGCAGUUGGAUGGGGCAACAGAAUCCGAUGGAAGGAGUUGAAGAGAAGGCACCAAAACAAGAAACUGAACUUCAUUCACUGAGAAAGGGGGCAGUUCAGGAUGAAUGCGGCCAGGAAGCUGCUUAAACUUUAAUUAUUCAUUUGUAUGCAUUUUCAGGAAGUCCCGUGUGCUCUGCAAACAUAUUUAAUAAUGAACUCUCAAAUGCAAGUGAGGUGCAGGGGCAACAAUUGCUCUGUUAGAGACAAAACGUGUUGGUGAUUCUGGGCGAUUCUUUUUGUUUUAUGGUGUGUGUGUGUUUGGGGUGGGGGUCGGGGCCGUACCUGGCAGGGCUCCGGUGUAGUUUCCAGCUGCAUCUGCAUGCUGCCGUACUGGCAGGAGCUCAGAGACUAUAUGCAGUGCCCAGAGUCAAAACGAGAGCUGCAGAAUAGAAGGCAGGCUCCUUACUGCCGAACCAGCUCUCCAGCCCCUGCAGCUCUCCUUUUGCAAGAAGCCUCCUCGGGCAACUCAGCUGCGGCCUCGUGGCCAAGAACAGCUUCUGGGAGGAAAUACUACACAGCUCAGUCCUAGUACCUCCCAAGGAAGCAUUUUCAGAACAUACAGGGUAACGUUUCCCAAAGUGGGAGAUUCCACAUCCCACCAGGGGUGGUGGACCAAGGUGGGAAGCAGAGGGGGCAUCAGCUGUCGUCACAGGUACAAUUCAGGGGUACCUUUUGUUAGUUGACUUAAUUUCCAGGAGGGGGGCACUUAGUGAUAUUUUUUCUUUUUUAUUCAAAAAGGAGGAGGUAGGUCAAGAAAGUUUGGAAAUUUCUGAUAUAAGUGAUGAUUGAUAGGUGAUAGGCUGAUAGUAAAUGGGUAUGAAUUACUUUAGAAAUCAAAGAUAUUUUGAGGAAGAGGGUUACUCAGAAAAAAAAAGUUGAAUGAGGCACAUAUUUUUAAAAAUUGCCUUCAAGAAAAACGUAAAAGAAAGUAUUUCCAACCCAAAACAUUGAACACAGCCUUAAAUAAAUGGAACUGCAAAGACCAAGCACCAAAUGAUAAGCAAUCACUUGAAGUUGUGUGUCAACAUAUUUUGUGCUCCUAAAAUUACAUCCUCUAUGCACUGUUGGCAGGAUAACUUUACAAAAAAAUCUUUAAGAAAUAUGGUUUUAAAAAAAGAAGGUAAAAGAAAAGAAAAAAGAAAUACGGUUUUAGCAUCUCCAGAAAGUCUAAGUGUAUCUGCCAAGUCACUGGAGGGCAAAAACAAAACACUUAGGAGACAAAAAGCAAAACAAAACAAUAAAAAACAAGCAAGAAGUGAGAGAGGCGACAGCUUAGAGGUGGUGGGUGAACACCCUCCCCCAGAUAAAUGUCUUCAUAGACCGUAACUUCGCAGGGGACGUGGCUCAGAGGGAGAGCACUUGCUUUGCAUGUAUGAGGCUCUGAGUUCAAUACCUAGCACCACCAGAAAAACUCAAUACCACAAAUGAGAAGUGUUUUGAAUGCUCCUUCUUAUUUCCAUCACCUGUAGAGCUUUGAAAAUUCCUUAUGUUCUUUAAAAUAAACCUGAAGAUCACAUCAGAAUCUUCUCAGAGGGUGGGACCCAGACUUCAAUAUUUUUUAAGUUCUAUUCAGUGGGUCUUAUAUGCAAUCAAGGUAAAGGAGCCCUGUAAAACCAAGCUUCCUUGGUCAACUCGAGAGAUUUCUGCUCUCUGCAUGGAAAAACUGGACAGCAAAUCCACGCAUGAAAGAGGACAGGGAGAGUGUUCGGGGAGGCGUUGAUCGCUAACAGCAAUAUGCCUUGCUCCUGUACCUAUUGCUGGACAGUAUAUAAUUGACCGCUCAUGUCGAGAAUUUAGCCAACUAACCUGAAGGAAGUUUGAUGGGAGACAAUAACUGCUUAUUUCUUGUUAACACAUUUUUUUUUAAAUUAAAGCACCUGAUUUACAAAGCUA